rnacentral:rRNA from 1 species
UACGGAGGCCGCCAGCGUUGUUCGGAAUCAUUGGGCGUAAAGGGCGCGUAGGUGGCUGUGCAAGUCGGAGGUGAAAUCCCUCGGCCCAACCGAGGAACUGCCUCCGAAACUGCACGGCUCGAGUCCCGGAGAGGGCAGUGGAAUUCCCAGUGUAGCGGUGAAAUGCGUAGAUAUUGGGAGGAACACCGGUGGCGAAGGCGGCUGCCUGGACGGGUACUGACACUGAGGCGCGAAAGCGUGGGGAGCAAACAGG